rnacentral:sRNA from 1 species
AAGCCAGAUAACAAAAGGGUUGACAGC